rnacentral:rRNA from 1 species
GACGAACGCUGGCGGCGUGCCUAAUACAUGCAAGUAGAACGCUGAAGGAGGAGCUUGCUUCUCUGGAUGAGUUGCGAACGGGUGAGUAACGCGUAGGUAACCUGCCUGGUAGCGGGGGAUAACUAUUGGAAACGAUAGCUAAUACCGCAUAACAGUAGAUAUCGCAUGAUAUCUACUUGAAAGGUGCAAUUGCAUCACUACCAGAUGGACCUGCGUUGUAUUAGCUAGUUGGUGAGGUAACGGCUCACCAAGGCGACGAUACAUAGCCGACCUGAGAGGGUGAUCGGCCACACUGGGACUGAGACACGGCCCAGACUCCUACGGGAGGCAGCAGUAGGGAAUCUUCGGCAAUGGACGGAAGUCUGACCGAGCAACGCCGCGUGAGUGAAGAAGGUUUUCGGAUCGUAAAGCUCUGUUGUAAGAGAAGAACGAGUGUGAGAGUGGAAAGUUCACACUGUGACGGUACCUUACCAGAAAGGGACGGCUAACUACGU